rnacentral:rRNA from 1 species
CGGAGGAAAAGAAACCAACUGGGAUUACCUUAGUAACGGCGAGUGAAGCGGUAAAAGCUCAAAUUUGAAAUCUGGUACUUUCAGUGCCCGAGUUGUAAUUUGUAGAAUUUGUCUUUGAUUAGGUCCUUGUCUAUGUUCCUUGGAACAGGACGUCAUAGAGGGUGAGAAUCCCGUUUGGCGAGGAUACCUUUUCUCUGUAAGACUUUUUCGAAGAGUCGAGUUGUUUGGGAAUGCAGCUCAAAGUGGGUGGUAAAUUCCAUCUAAAGCUAAAUAUUGGCGAGAGACCGAUAGCGAACAAGUACAGUGAUGGAAAGAUGAAAAGAACUUUGAAAAGAGAGUGAAAAAGUACGUGAAAUUGUUGAAAGGGAAGGGCAUUUGAUCAGACAUGGUGUUUUUUGCAUGCACUCGCCUCUCGUGGGCUUGGGCCUCUCAAAAAUUUCACUGGGCCAACAUCAAUUCUGGCAGCAGGAUAAAUCAUUAAGAAUGUAGCUACUUCGGUAGUGUUAUAGCUUUUUGGAAUACUGUUAGCCGGGAUUGAGGACUGCGCUUCGGCAAGGAUGUUGGCAUAAUGGUUA